rnacentral:rRNA from 1 species
UGCAGUCGAGCGCGCCUUUCAGGGUGAGCGGCGGACGGGUUAGUAACGCGUGGGAAGAUAUCCCUUUGGUACGGAAUACCCUCUGGAAACGGAGAGUAAUACCGUAUGAGCCCUUCGGGGGAAAGAUUUAUCGCCCAAGGAGUAUCCCGCGUUAGAUUAGGUCGUUGGGGGGGUUAUGGCC